AACGCACCUUGCACCAUAUGAGCAAUUGUAUGGUAUACCUGUUUGAGAAUCGUAAACCUCCUCACUUACUUGUAAGUGGAAUUGUCGGCUUAUUGUAUAACCGAUUAAAUGCAUUAGGUUUGGAUCAGGCUGGUGGCCCGAGACACUGUGUGCUAGAGACUAGUCUUAACCGGCUCCGUCUUCUCAUGGUGCGUCUUGGGUCAUUCAAAGCUAGCCUGCAAAGGACCUUAACUGCGCAAAGAAUUAAUCUUCUUUGGCAACCUUUCUCAUUGAUCUCAAAUCAGGUAAGGCUACCCGCUGAACUUAA
rnacentral:misc_RNA from 1 species